rnacentral:rRNA from 1 species
UACAGAGGUCUCAAGCGUUGCUCGGAAUCACUGGGCGUAAAGGGCGUGUAGGCGGGAAGGAAAGUCAGAUGUGAAAUCCCCAGGCUCAACCUGGGAACUGCAUUUGAAACUCCCUUUCUUGAGUACCGGAGAGGAAAGUGGAAUUCCUGGUGUAGAGGUGAAAUUCGUAGAUAUCAGGAGGAACACCAGUGGCGAAGGCGGCUUUCUGGACGGUAACUGACGCUGAGACGCGAAAGCGUGGGGAGCAAACAGG